UAAAAUCUUAGUGGCGGACGGGUGAGUAACGCGUGGGUAACCUGCCUUACACUGGGGGAUAACACUUAGAAAUAGGUGCUAAUACCGCAUAAGCGCACGAAGCCGCAUGGAUUUGUGUGAAAAACUCCGGUGGUGUAAGAUGGACCCGCGUCUGAUUAGCUUGUUGGCGGGGUAACGGCCCACCAAGGCGACGAUCAGUAGCCGGCCUGAGAGGGUGGACGGCCACAUUGGGACUGAGACGCGGCCCAAACUCCUACGGGAGGCAGCAG
rnacentral:rRNA from 1 species